rnacentral:rRNA from 1 species
AAGCUGGUUCGAGCUCGGCAAUGGCGGUGCAUCUAGAUUACUGUAUAGUAUAAAUAACUACACAGUAAAACUGCGAAUGGCUCAUUAAAACAGUUAUAGUUUAUUUGAUACAUUAAAUGGAUAACUGUAGAAAAACUAGAGCUAAUACAUGCCAAAGCCUCACGGUUGUAUUUAUUAGAUAUUCCAAUUAGGUGAAUCAUAAUAACUUCGCAAAUCUCGGUUUUUGCCGAGAUAAAUCAUCCAAGUUUCUGCCCUAUCAUGCUUUCGAUGGUAGUGUAUUGGACUACCAUGGCUUUCACGGGAACCAAGAACAUAGGGUUCGAUUCUGGAGUACUGAGCCUGAGAAACGGCUACUACCUCUACCGCAGGCAGCAGGCGCGUAAAUUACCCAAUCCUGACUCAGGGAGGUGGUGACAAGAUAUAACACGCAUUUCAUUGUGAUUGUAGUGAGGGUAUUCCAACCGAACCACUAGUACGAUUAGAGGGCAGUCUGGUGCAGCAGCCGCGGUAUUCAGCUCUAUAGCGUAUAUAAAGUGCUGCAGUAAAGCUCGUAGUGAUUCAGAUGUGACUCCUCGAGUAUGCCCUACUGUUUGACUGUACUGGAAAAUAAGGUAGAGCAUGCAGAACUACUGAACGAUGUGACUGUAUCAUCUAAAACUGGCUAUAUGCAGAUUGUUAACUGGACUGCGGUUCAAGAAAGCUCUACGGGACCAAUGAAAAUAUAUAUAUGUAUUUUA